rnacentral:ribozyme from 12 species
UUUCGAUUGCUAUUUCGUUUUGCCUGUUUUUCUUCUUCUUCUUCUUUUUUGUAUUUUCUUGUUUCUUGUAAAAAUAAAAAAAAAGUGUAAAUGGAAGUACACAAAACAAAAAACCAAAAAAAAC